rnacentral:rRNA from 1 species
AUUGAACGCUGGAGGCAGGCUUAACACAUGCAAGUCGAGCGAGCGGCGGACGGGUCAGUAAUGUCUGGGAAACUGCCUGAUGGAGGGGGAUAACUACUGGAAACGAUAGCUAAUACCGCAUACCAUCAGAUGUGCCCAGAUGGGAUUAGCUAGUAGGUGGGGUAAUGGCUCACCUAGGCGAAGAUACCUAGCUGGUCUGAGAGGAUGACCAGCCACACUUGACCUAAGACCCGGUACAGACUUCUACGGGUGGCAGCAGUGGUGAAUAUUGCACAAUGGGCGCAAGCCUGAUGCAGCCAUGCCGCGUGUGUGAAGAAGGCCUUCGGGUUGUAAAGCACUUUCAGCGAGGAGGCGUUACUCGCAGAAGAAGCACCGGCUAACUCCGUGCCAGAUCCGCGGUAUUUC